rnacentral:rRNA from 1 species
UUGGAGGGCAAGUCUGGUGCCAGCAGCCGCGGUAAUUCCAGCUCCAAUAGCGUAUAUUAAAGUUGUUGCAGUUAAAAAGCUCGUAGUUGAAUUUCGGAGUUUGUCGGUUGGUCGGGCUUCACCGUUCGCACUGACCUGAUGGAUUCCUACCUUCUGAAUAACCAGCAUGCUAUUAAGUUAGUGCGUUGGGGAAGCAGAGCUAUUACCUUGAAAAAAUUAGAGUGCUUAAAGCAGGCUUAUGCUUGAAUAGAUUAGCAUGGAAUAAUAAAAUAGGACGGCAUGGUUCUAUUUUGUUGGUUUCUAGGAUCACCGUAAUGAUUAAUAGGGAUAGUUGGGGGCAUUAGUAUUCAAUUGUCAGAGGUGAAAUUCUUGGAUUUAUUGAAGACUAACUUCUGCGAAAGCAUUUGCCAAGGAUGUUUUCAUUAAUCAAGAACGAAAGUUAGAGGAUCGAAGACGAUCAGAUACCGUCGUAGUCUUAACCAUAAACUAUGCCGACUAGGGAUCGGACGAUGUUAAUUUUUUAAUGACUCGUUCGGCGCCUUACGGGAAAC